GGGUGUGUUAUAGCCCAUAGUUGUAUACAGCGGCUGGGAUUGAGGACCGCAGCAUGCCUUUAUGGCCGGGGUUCGCCCACGUACGUGCUUAGGAUGUUGGCAUAAUGGCUUUAAACGACCCGUCUUGAAACACGGACCAAGGAGUCUAACAUACCUGCGAGUGUUUGGGUGGAAAACCCGAGCGCGCAACGAAAGUGAAAGUUGAGAUCCCUGUCAUGGGGAGCAUCGACGCCCAUACCAGAGCUUCUGUGACGGAUAUGCGGUUGAGCAUGUA
rnacentral:rRNA from 1 species